rfam:Stegodyphus mimosarum contig23848, whole genome shotgun sequence.
GCCUUCGUGGUGUAGUGGUCAGCACGCUCGACGCGUAACCGAGUGGUCCGUGGUUCGAGUCCCGCCGAGGGUU